CAGUAGCCGCGGUAAUACGGAGGGUGCAAGCGUUAUCCGGAUUUAUUGGGUUUAAAGGGUCCGUAGGCGGACUUAUAAGUCAGUGGUGAAAGCCUGUCGCUUAACGAUAGAACUGCCAUUGAUACUGUAAGUCUUGAGUAUAUUUGAGGUAGCUGGAAUAAGUAGUGUAGCGGUGAAAUGCAUAGAUAUUACUUAGAACACCAAUUGCGAAGGCAGGUUACCAAGAUAUAACUGACGCUGAGGGACGAAAGCGUGGGUAGCGAACAGGAUUAGAUACCCCGGUAGUCCCUGUCUCUUAUAC
rnacentral:rRNA from 1 species